GUCCACGCCAUAAACGAUGGAUACUUGUUGUUAGAGGUAUUGACCCCUCUAGUGACGUAGCUAACGCGUUAAGUAUCCCGCCUGGGGAGUACGGUCGCAAGAUUAAAACUCAAAGAAAUUGACGGGGGCCCGCACAAGCGGUGGAGCAUGUGGUUUAAUUCGAUGCAACGCGAAGAACCUUACCUAGGCUUGACAUAAACUGGAAGAGUGGCAGAAAUGUCCUCGCUCGCAAGAGUCGGUUUACAGGUGCUGCAUGGCUGUCGU
rnacentral:rRNA from 1 species